CCUACGGGAGGCAGCAGUAAGGAAUAUUGGACAAUGCCCGCAAGGGUGAUCCAGCCAUGCCGCGUGCAGGAAGAAGGCCCUAUGGGUCGUAAACUGCUUUUACACCGGAGAAAACCUCCCUUCGUGAAGGGAGCUGAUAGUAUGGUGAGAAUAAGCAUCGGCUAACUUCGUGCCAGCAGCCGCGGUAAGACGAAGGAUGCAAGCGUUAUCCGGAUUCGUUGGGUUUAAAGGGAGCGUAGGUGGACUGAUAAGUCAGUGGUGAAAUCUUCGAGCUUAACUCGGAAAUUGCCAUUGAUACUGUUAGUCUUGAGUACAGUUGCUGUGGGCGGAAUAUGACAUGUAGUGGUGAAAUACAUAGAGAUGUCAUAGAACACCGAUUGCGAAGGCAGCUCACAAAGCUGUAACUGACACUGAGGCUCGAAAGUGCGGGGAUCAAACAGGAUUAGAUACCCUGGUAGUCCGCACUGUAAACGAUGAUUACUCGCUGCUAGAGGGCAACUUUUAGUGGCUUAGCGAAAGCGAUAAGUAAUCCACCUGGGGAGUACGCCGGCACGGUGAAACUCAAGGAAUUGACGG
rnacentral:rRNA from 1 species